ACUGAUUAAAUCGGUUCUUAUGACUAUUCUUACCUAUGCUUUGCAGACUACUGCUCUAUGCAGCUCUCUCUACGAUCAAAUUGACCGGAUGGUGCGUGAUUUUAUCUGGAGCUCUUCAAACGACUUGAAGAAGCCAAGCUUUGUCAAUUGAAAUAAAAUAUAUCAGCCUACCUCGCAUGAGGAAGGGGGGGAGUGGCCGGGGCUGCUGACCAGGCCGCUGACAUGGCUGCUGACGUGGAGCUGACGUGGUACAACUUUUUUAAAUUACGUUUUG
rnacentral:lncRNA from 1 species